GGGGGUGAAAAGGACUCGACUUAGGUUAAUUUUGUAAGGGGAGCAUGUAGAGGCUGCAGGGCAGCUCUUUAAAACGCUCUGCACAAAACAAACGCAAACGAGAACACUCGUUUAUUAGCUGCGGCGAAUCAGAUUGUUGCUCCGAUUUUCAGAGCACCUUCUCUCGUCCCGGCUAUGCGCUAAGCCCUUCCUUUUUUUAAAGGAAGGCCUUGAUUAAGCCUCGCCUAAGGACUUAGUUGAGCAUUAUUAGGCUGGCAGAAGGCGCGUGCCUUGGCGCCUAAUGCGAGACGAAAAGGCUGCGGCGUGGGCAAUCCUGCCUAUCGGAGUGAACACGCAUAAGCGUAAAUAAUAGGCUAAACAUGUAGCGCUUCUUAUGGGAGAACUUAGGGACGCGGGUUCGAUUCCACA
rnacentral:tmRNA from 1 species